rnacentral:rRNA from 2 species
GGGUAGCAAACAGGAUUAGAUACCCUGGUAGUCCAUACCGUAAACGAUGAAUGCUAAGUGUUGGAGGGUUUCCGCCCUUCAGUGCUGCAGCUAACGCAUUAAGCAUUCCGCCUGGGGAGUACGGCCGCAAGGCUGAAACUCAAAGGAAUUGACGGGGGCCCGCACAAGCGGUGGAGCAUGUGGUUUAAUUCGAAGCUACGCGAAGAACCUUACCAGGUCUUGACAUACUAUGCAAAUCUAAGAGAUUAGACGUUCCCUUCGGGGACAUGGAUACAGGUGGUGCAUGGUUGUCGUCAGCUCGUGUCGUGAGAUGUUGGGUUAAGUCCCGCAACGAGCGCAACCCUUAAUAUCAGUUGCCAGCAUUAAGUUGGGCACUCUGGUGAGACUGCCGGUGACAAACCGGAGGAAGGUGGGGAUGACGUCAAAUCAUCAUGCCCCUUAUGACCUGGGCUACACACGUGCUACAAUGGAUGGUACAACGAGUUGCGAACUCGCGAGAGUAAGCUAAUCUCUUAAAGCCAUUCUCAGUUCGGAUUGUAGGCUGCAACUCGCCUACAUGAAGUCGGAAUCGCUAGUAAUCGCGGAUCAACAUGCCGCGGUGAAUACGUUCCCGGGCCUUGUACACACCGCCCGUCACACCAUGAGAGUUUGUAACAC